CAAAUUUUUGAGAUGAGAACUAACCAGAAAGGCUAUUAUUUUACUUGGGCUGAGGCUACAUGCAUCUUCUAGACUAGAUUUCAUGACUGCAUUUCAGACAUUUCUCUGAAUUUGGAGGGAAAGCACAUAUUUCAUAGCAAGCCUCCUCCAUAUGAGAAAGAAGGGGCCAAUAAGAGAACUAGGGUGGUGUAACAGUUAAGAUGUUAAACCAGGGAUGGGGAGUGCCGGAAUGCAUUCCCCCCACCCCCAUCCAGCCACAAGACUGACUGAUGAAUUUGGGCCACCCACUGGUUCUCAGCCCAACCUAUCACCCAGGAUUGUUUUACAGAGUAAAAAAGAGGAAGGAGUCCGUCCUCUUUAUGCUGCCCAGCAUUCCUGAAAGAAAGAAAGAAAUACAAGGACCAUAAGAGUUUGCUUAAAUGUGACCCAGCGGAGCGGUUUGCAGCCAUAAGAAAUCUGGAAUCCAGGUCAUAAGUACCUGGGGAGGGGGGUCCACCAUAAUUCUGAAUGGUCACUAAGCAACCGUCGUUAAGCGAGGACUACUUGUAACGCAAGCCCUGGAUUGCAGCAAUAAAUUCUCCACAAUCCAGAUCUUCUAACUGAAUCCACAACCACUGUGGGCUCAGUAUCACAGACCCACAAGGACCAACUUCUCUGUUAUUGUAUUAUCUCUACCAAUUUAAACUAUAUCCACACUCAAGGUUCAAGAUGAAUGCAACCUGUGUCAUGUGGGGAAUCUUUUGGCUGAUUAUACUCUUUUUUAUUGGAUGGCCAAUUAGCAUAUUCUUGGGAGGACUGUACGGAUUCUUCGCUCCUAUGACCACUCUGAUAGGUCUGGAUGACUUUAGUGAGCUUUUAUUGAAGGGGGUAAAUGUGGGAAGAGAAUGUGCUAUGAAUGUGCGAACAGGAAAGUCCCUCUUUUAACAAUAAACCCUAUCAUAAAUCAGGAAAUAAACAUUCAUUUUAUGAUCUUUAAUGGAUUUUGAAAGUAUUUGUGUACAUUCCUGUUUAUAUUAAAAUGAUAAUUUAGAUUUUAAAUAAUACAUUAGUGAUAUUUUACAGUAUUGUAAAGAAGUAAUAUAGUGUCAUUUCAUUUGUAAGCUGUAUGAAACCUGGGGAGAUCCAAAUAAGAACUUCAUUUUUUUGUCAGAUCUGGAUUUGUCUAGAACGCCAUGUUUACAGCUCUGAAAACUUAUGCAGUAAUAUCUUUGCUUAGAAACAGUGAUGAAACUUGCCUUCCUCUUAGCGGGAAAGUUGGCAUUUGGCCUCUUACUCUGCCUUGUAAGUUAUCAAAAGUUCAAAGUCUAAUUGUUUAUUAGCUUCAUUACCAAAUGCAGUCAAUGUAUUAAUCUGUAUUAUCGCUAAUGUUCAUUAUAUUUAAAUUUGAUAUAAAUAUAUCAUAUAUAUGGGAGCUAUUUUUAAUUAUUCAUAGAUAUGGUAUUACUUAUGAUAAAUAAAACAUAACUGUACUGGUAGUUUCCACUUUUUUUUUUACAUUUUUGUUAUAUAUUUUUCUCCUAAUAUAAGAAAUUCCUGAAUUUUGCUGAAUUGCUAAAUUUUGCUGUUACUUUUCUGAAACUCAAUUAUAAAUAUUAUGAUGAUCUUAAAACUAGAAUCUACUUUAUAUAUUGUUAAAGUAUUUUUGCUGUCACUUAUCUGAUAGAGAUCUAAGUUCUCUGUCCCCUAAUAUGUAUGUAAGUAAUCCUUGGUACAAUUUGAAACAAUGGGAAAGUGUCAUUGCUAAUGGUCCAGGUUGAGAAUAGAAAUUAUCCCAGUUUCCUCAUUAGAUUGCAUAUUCCAGAAACUGAUCAGAAUAAUGCAUCCAUGUUGAUUCUUUUGAGUGUGUGUGUGUUAUAUAAUACCAUAUUAUAUCAUUAUCUGUGGCUCCUAAAAUGUUUAGCUAUAAACUAUUAUUAUGCAGAUCUGUUUGGCUGAGUGUUUCUAGGUAUUAGUAGUGGAGGAGUAUUGCUUGAUUCUUUAGCUGUUAACAAAAUAUAUCUCAGGAUGUUUUCAUGAUAGCCCCCCCUAAACCUUCACAUGAUCAUUUCCCAUGACACUAGACAAACAACAACAAGAAGAAAACAACUCCCUUUAAAAUAUAAAGUUACCAUAUUGGGUGGCACCAACUCAAGCCCAAUUAUAAGACAGGCGUUCUCUAUUUCAGAAGCAUAUUAGGGAAUUUGGUGUUGUGGUUAAGGAACCAGGUUAGAGACUAGGAGACUUUGAGUUCUAGUCCUACCUUAGGCAUGAAAGUCAGCUCGGUGACUUAAGCAGAGUCACUUUUUUCCAGCCCAACACACCUCACAGGAUUAUUAUUGUGGGGAAAUCAGAAGAAGGAAGGACUAUUUAAAUAUGUUUGCCACCUUAAAUUGUUUAUAAAAAAUAAACGGGGGAAAUGAAUGAAUGAAUGAAUAAAAUAAAUGAAUGAAUGAAUGUCUCUCUCGGUUGAUAUACAUUCAGCUAUAAGACAACUCACAAUGAGUUGCUUUUUCCUUUAUGCCUUAUAAGUGUUCGAGUUUUAGAAGCUUUUUCAAACUUAAAAAUAGUGCUUAGCACUAGCUAGGUAUCUGGCAUUGAUUCUUAAUGCACAUUUCAGGAUCAAAGUAGUUGUUUUUACAUAUUGUCAUUAUUUCUAAUUGGAUGGCAAUGGUUUUACCAGAAUCAGCAUAGGGUUACUGGAUGGCCAAUAGGGGAAAGAGCUUGAGGUAAAAAAUUAUCUCCUUUCUAUUCCUAUCACUUUGCACAAAUGAGAUAAGGCUGUUACAGGAGAAACUCCAAACUUUCUAGAGAUCGUAAUUUCUCUUCUGAGCACCGUUUGACUAUUUGUAAGCAAAAUAUUCACUUCUUUUGUUAACUGAUUUGCAAUGUUGAUCCAUAAUUUCUUAACAUUAGAAAAGAUCAUAACUGAGAAUAUUCCAACUUUCACUGAAAUUUAAUUUCAUUCAUUUUCUCUCAAUAUUUAGGUAAGUUUGAAACUAUUUGAAGUUAUGGUACAGCUCUUUUGUUGUUAGUUGCAAAAUCGUAUCCGACCCAUCGCGACCCCAUGGACAACGUUCCUCCAGGCCUUUCUGUCCUCUAACAUCUUCUGGAGUCCGU